GAGCGGCGGCCGUUUUCCCGCCCUGACGCGGCUCCGCUCGCCCACCGCCCGUAGAGCCCCGAGUCGCCGCGGUUAUUAACUUUUUUUUUAAAAGUAAAAAAAAAACCCCAAACAAACAAAAAAAGUGUAUCGACUGUACCGCUACAGAGGGCUGUGUGUUUAAAUGUAAUUAAACACGUGUCGGCACAUGUUACAGAACGUCUCCCUCAGACUGAAACACCGGAGAGUCGCGUACCGAGGUCAUGGGGGAGCUGGAGCCUAUCCCAGCAAGCAAACGGAGCAGGCAGGGGACACUCUGGACGGGACACCAGUCUUGAAUAGACACGAUACAGGAUUGUGCUCUUGCGUUUACCUGUUGAAUUUUUCCAAUCUGGUUCUUUGUCCGAAAGGAGGAGGGUAAAGAGGAACAGGGCUUGGGCACCUCUACGCCUCCCAGUCACAGCUCACUGUGCCCCCAGGGAGAAAGAUUUUUUUUGUGAUCUGCAUCCUGUUUCUUUGACGAAAAGGGGGCAAAGGGAAGACAAAGAAGACAGGCUUCUCUCCACCUCCCAGUGACGGCUCAUUGUGCCCACGAGGGAGAAAGAUGACGCCACUGCUCCAGCCAACCUCGGACUGAAUUGGCAGGUCUUGUGAAAGAAACGCACAUCACCUAUAACCAGAUUCUUGAAU